GUGUCUAAAUCAGUGCCUUCAUUUUAUAAAGGAGGAAAACAAAUCUCAGAGGAAAAAUGACUUUCCCAAGGUCACACAAGUAUCAAAUGGAAUAUGUGAGAGUCUGGGUUGUGCCUAUGGUUCAAGAUAAUAUAAAGCUCUAUUCUAUUCCAUUCUAUUCCAUUCUAUUCCAUUCUAUUCUAUUCUAUUCUAUUCUAUUCUAUUCCAUUCUAUCCCAUUCCAUUCCAUUCCAUUCCAUUCCAUUCCAUUCCAUUCCAUUCUAUUCUAUUCUAUUCUAUUCUAUUCUAUUCUAUUCUAUUCUAUUCUAUUCUAUUCUAUUCCAUUCCAUUCCAUUCCAUUCCAUUCCAUUCCAUUCCAUUCCAUUCCAUUCCAUUCCAUUCCAUUCCAUUCCAUUCUAUUCUAUUCUAUUCUAUUCUAUUCUAUUCUGUUCUAUUCUGUUCUGUUCUGUUCUGUUCUGUUCUGUUCUGUUCUGUUCUGUUCUAUUCUGUUCUGUUCUGUUCUGUUCUGUUCUGUUCUGUUCUGUUCUAUUCUAUUCUAUUCUAUUCUAUUCUAUUCUAUUCUAUUCCAUUCUAUUCUAUUCUAUUCUAUUCCAUUCCAUUCCAUUCCAUUCCAUUCCAUUCCAUUCCAUUCCAUUCCAUUCCAUUCCAUCCCAUCCCAUCCCAUCCCAUCCCAUCCCAUCCCAUCCCAUCCCAUCCCAUCCCAUCCCAUCCCAUCCCAUCCCAUCCCAUCCUAUUCUAUUCUAUUCUAUUCUAUUCCAUUCUAUUCCAUUCUAUUCCAUUCCAUUCCAUUCCAUUCCAUUCCAUCCCAUCCCAUCCCUUUCCUUUCCUUUCCUUUCCUUUCCUUUCCUUUCCUUUCCUUUCCUUUCCUUUCCUUUCCUUUCCUUUCCUUUCCUUUCCUUUCCGUUCCGUUCCGUUCUGUUCCGUUCCAUUCGUAUUCCCAGGUAAAGUAGUAUCUUUAGAAAGAGCAGAGGCAAGAAAGCCAAAAGCAAUCAUGGGAUCAUAUAGAAAAGAAAGAGUGGGUGGCAGCUGGGUGGCUCAGUGGAUUGAGAGUCAGGCCCAGAGACAGGAGUUUUAGGUUCAAAUCUGGCCUCAGACACUUCCUAGCUGUGUGACCCUGGACAAGUCACUUAACCCCCAUUGCCUAGCUCCUACACUCUUCUGCCUUGGAACCAAUACCUGGUAUUGAUUCUAAGACGAAAGGUAAGGGUUUAAAAAAAAAGUGUGAGUAUAGAGAUGUGC
rnacentral:lncRNA from 1 species